ensembl:snRNA U6 U6 spliceosomal RNA
GUGCUCACUUCAGCAGUACAUAUACUAAAAUUAAAACAAUACAGAGAUUAGCAUGGCCCAUGUGCAAGGAUGACAUGCAAAUUCGUGAAGUGUUCCAUAUUUUU